rnacentral:rRNA from 1 species
GUGGGGAAUCUUGCGCAAUGCGCGAAAGCGUGACGCAGCAACGCCGCGUGGGGGAAGACGGCCUUCGGGUUGUAAACCCCUUUCAGUUGGGACGAAGCUCCGUCGGUGAAUAGCCGGCUGGAGUGACGGUACCUUCAGAAGAAGCCCCGGCUAACUACGUGCCAGCAGCCGCGGUAAUACGUAGGGGGCAAGCGUUGUCCGGAAUCAUUGGGCGUAAAGAGCGUGUAGGCGGCUCGGUAAGUCCGCUGUGAGAGUCCAGGGCUCAACCCUGGAAUGCCGGUGGAAACUGUCGAGCUAGAGUCCGGAAGAGGCGAGUGGAAUUCCUGGUGUAGCGGUGAAAUGCGCAGAUAUCAGGAGGAACACCAAUGGCGAAGGCAGCUCGCUGGGACGGUACUGACGCUGAGACGCGAAAGCGUGGGGAGCAAACAGGAUUAGAUACCCUGGUAGUCCACGCUGUAAACGAUGGGCACUAGGUGUGGGGGGGUGUCGACUCCCUCCGUGCCGACGCUAACGCAUUAAGUGCCCCGCCUGGGGAGUACGGCCGCAAGGC